rnacentral:snRNA from 1 species
UUUCGAAUCUUGAUCACCAAA